rnacentral:rRNA from 1 species
CGACGGCGGUGUGCUAUACAUGCAAGUCGUACGCACUGGCCCAACUGAUUGAUGGUGCUUGCACCUGAUUGACGAUGGAUCACCAGUGAGUGGCGGACGGGUGAGUAACACGUAGGUAACCUGCCCCGGAGCGGGGGAUAACAUUUGGAAACAGAUGCUAAUACCGCAUAACAACAAAAGCCACAUGGCUUUUGCUUGAAAGAUGGCUUUGGCUAUCACUCUGGGAUGGACCUGCGGUGCAUUAGCUAGUUGGUAAGGUAACGGCUUACCAAGGCGAUGAUGCAUAGCCGAGUUGAGAGACUGAUCGGCCACAAUGGAACUGAGACACGGUCCAUACUCCUACGGGAGGCAGCAGUAGGGAAUCUUCCACAAUGGGCGCAAGCCUGAUGGAGCAACACCGCGUGAGUGAAGAAGGGUUUCGGCUCGUAAAGCUCUGUUGUUGGAGAAGAACGUGCGUGAGAGUAACUGUUCACGCAGUGACGGUAUCCAACCAGAAAGUCACGGCUAACUACGUGCCAGCAGCCGCGGUAAUACGUAGGUGGCAAGCGUUAUCCGGAUUUAUUGGGCGUAAAGCGAGCGCAGGCGGUUGCUUAGGUCUGAUGUGAAAGCCUUCGGCUUAACCGAAGAAGUGCAUCGGAAACCGGGCGACUUGAGUGCAGAAGAGGACAGUGGAACUCCAUGUGUAGCGGUGGAAUGCGUAGAUAUAUGGAAGAACACCAGUGGCGAAGGCGGCUGUCUGGUCUGCAACUGACGCUGAGGCUCGAAAGCAUGGGUAGCGAACAGGAUUAGAUACCCUGGUAGUCCAUGCCGUAAACGAUGAGUGCUAGGUGUUGGAGGGUUUCCGCCCUUCAGUGCCGGAGCUAACGCAUUAAGCACUCCGCCUGGGGAGUACGACCGCAAGGUUGAAACUCAAAGGAAUUGACGGGGGCCCGCACAAGCGGUGGAGCAUGUGGUUUAAUUCGAAGCUACGCGAAGAACCUUACCAGGUCUUGACAUCUUGCGCUAACCUUAGAGAUAAGGCGUUCCCUUCGGGACGCAUGACAGGUGGUGCAUGGUCGUCGUCAGCUCGUGUCGUGAGAUGUUGGGUUAAGUCCCGCAACGAGCGCAACCCUUGUUACUAGUUG